AAAAUGCUAGGAUAAUUAAUCCGAUAAAUUGUGGGUUUAUAAAUAUAUAUAUAUGCAUUUUA
rnacentral:tRNA from 1 species